rnacentral:tmRNA from 1 species
GGGGUCGUAAAGGUUUCGACGGGGAUUGUGCGUCACGGUAAGCGAGUAGCGGUGCCGACCCGCUAUAAAAUCGGUAACUUUAAAAAAUAAACGACAACAAUACUGUUGCUGUUGCGGCUUAAUUAAGCCGCCGUUUCCUCCCGGAGUACCGCGGCCGGGAAGGAAGCGUCGAUGAGCGGUGAACGUGAGCCGAUGCUUGGUGCGGCAUCGGCCACGGCUUAGCACCUACCGUAACCGGAAGCCUGCCUGUCGGCGUCCGGCGAGGGGAAUCCUAAAAGACCGGCUGCACUCGGAGAAAGCUGUGAUAAGUGGUUUUCGGACGGGGGUUCAAUUCCCCCCGGCUCCACCA